rnacentral:rRNA from 1 species
AUUGAACGCUGGCGGCAUGCUUUACACAUGCAAGUCGAACGGCAGCGCGGGCUUCGGCCUGGCGGCGAGUGGCGAACGGGUGAGUAAUACAUCGGAACGUGCCUAGUAGUGGGGGAUAGCUCGGCGAAAGCCGGAUUAAUACCGCAUACGACCUGAGGGUGAAAGCGGGGGAUCUUCGGACCUCGCGCUAUUGGAGCGGCCGAUGGCAGAUUAGCUAGUUGGUGGGGUAAAGGCCUACCAAGGCGACGAUCUGUAGCUGGUCUGAGAGGACGACCAGCCACACUGGGACUGAGACACGGCCCAGACUCCUACGGGAGGCAGCAGUGGGGAAUUUUGGACAAUGGGCGAAAGCCUGAUCCAGCAAUGCCGCGUGUGUGAUGAAGGCCUUCGGGUUGUAAAGCACUUUUGGCGGGAACGAAAAGGACUGUGCCAAUACCACGGUUCGAUGACGGUACCCGCAGAAUAAGCACCGGCUAACUACGUG